AGAAAAGCUGGGAAGAAGGCCAGUUCUUUCUCCUUAUCGGGGAUGUUGUAAGAAUGUUUAUAUGUGUGUGAAUGUGUGUGAAAGGUCUGAAAGUAAACAGAUGUUGAACAUAGAAGCUUCUAGAAGGUUCUGGAAGGAGAGGAGGGGUCGAAGAACGAGCUUAAAGAGUCCUGCGUAGCAGGACUCUGGUUAGUUCGUGUGGUCUGAAUUCACCAGCAGCCUUUGUGCACUGCAAUAAACCAUUUAAAGAAAAGUAUCGGAGUCAGAUUAUCCUUAACGCGCGAGUGAAGUUAACUGCCAAGGCAGGAGCCGACCGGGGAAGAGGAAGAGAAGGAGAAAGAAGCUCCAGUCGGGAGGCAGGCUCCUUCUCGUGGUAGGAGUACGGUCCCGGAGCAGGGAGCCCGACCGGACAAAAGCCACAACAUAAAUGGUGACCCCGACGUUUUUCUCUUGAUUAUCCCGCUGGAGUGAAUAUCAGAAUUCUGGCUAAUUUGCUUUCUCUUCUUUUCCCCGAUGAAAUUGGCCAACGAAACGCGACACUAAACUGAAGAGACACGGGCGGAGAAACGGCGAACGUAUCAACAGAACCCGGAAACCGAUUCCAGAAGGGAGUUGGAGGAGGAGCCAAAGAUCAAACCAGGAGAUCUCGUGUACGUGAAGGUGUUCCGCAGACAGUGGAACAGCCCGAGGCGAGAGGGGCCGUACGAAGUCACACGAGCCACCAGAACCGCAGUUCAGGUCAAAGGGAAACCGACCUGGUUUCACCUAUCCCACUGCACGCCAGCAUCCGCGACACGAGCAGAUGAUGACAGCCAAAAGGGCUCUCCCGAGUCUCUGGCUCCUGGUCAUGGGUCUCAUGAUGUAUCAGGGGGGCCGGGCACAGCAGCCUCAGCUCGGAGGAUGAUGAGGGGGAGGUCUCAGCAGACUUCAAGGGGGUCUGCUGAACAACCAGAACGAGGAGAGGAGGAGCUGCCUCGCUUGCCUUGCUUUUGCAGCCUGCUACAGCUGUGUUGAUCAAAAUACCCCUGAAGGGGUACAUGCCCAUUGAAAGCAGAGUUUUCCCUUGCCCCACCUUCAGCUCCAUGCAUGGCAGGCCAGUGUGGAGACUCCAUGACACACGAGGUGUCAGAGGGUGGAGAGUUAUAGACUGGAAACCGGUUGGAGAAAAAAGAAAGAAGGGACUGAAAUGAUUAAGUACAGUCAUGAAGUGAUGAACAAAUGAAUAAUGUCAUGUAUAACAUCUGUUUGAUUAACAGGCGGGGACCGUAGGAUGUCGAUGGAUUCAAUUCUCUACACGCUUAUUUUGAUUAAUGAAAACACAAUUUUAAAGGUCAAGAUACUUCACAUAAUACAUAUAGGAGAUGCGUCGUUAACUAAGGGAGGAGCAGACGGUUAAACAGCGCGAGAGGGUGGAAGUAAAAGACCGGGGUGGAAGAAUCGGGGAAGGUAGUUCUGGAUACGGAGUAAACUGCUUAGGAGGAUGACCCCAGACCCCGGGUCAUCGAGUAGAUGGCUCUGUGAGGGUGCAAGUCCAAUGUGUACCCAAGCAGAGGGUCAUAUGUCGUUUUUCCUUAAA